GGUUCUCAGGCUGCAGGGCGCUGGGUUGCCUGAGAGAGAGCUCAUUUCAGGAGCGCAGAGGAAGUCACUAACGCUGCUUAUGAGUCAGAAGAGAGCUGGAUGGGUGAUGACUGGACUCUUGCCUUGUUACACGGCCCCCAUGGAUCAAGUCCAGCUAGAGGUCAGAGGGCACAGAAGCUGUAAGGAUGUGAUUCCGAUCUGUCACAGCCAGAGCACAUGAAAACGGGCAGAAGUUCUAAAGAGCCAUGGCUUUGUGAGUUACAACUGCAUUGCUACAAGAUGGUUCCUGGACCUAAAUGAAGAGAGAUGGUGCCUGGACACCACAAAGAAUCUUUAUUGAGCCAGUUAGUUAAAAAACAAUUACAUAAGCACUUUUCUCCUGAUUAUUCUAAAUCUUCAUCAAUAAAAUACUAUU